rnacentral:rRNA from 1 species
AUGCAAGUCGAACGAACUCUGGUAUUGAUUGGUGCUUGCAUCAUGAUUUACAUUUGAGUGAGAGGCGAACUGGUGAGUAACACGUGGGAAACCUGCCCAGAAGCGGGGGAUAACACCUGGAAACAGAUGCUAAUACCGCAUAACAACUUGGACCGCAUGGUCCGAGUUUGAAAGAUGGCUUCGGCUAUCACUUUUGGAUGGUCCCGCGGCGUAUUAGCUAGAUGGUGGGGUAACGGCUCACCAUGGCAAUGAUACGUAGCCGACCUGAGAGGGUAAUCGGCCACAUUGGGACUGAGACACGGCCCAAACUCCUACGGGAGGCAGCAGUAGGGAAUCUUCCACAAUGGACGAAAGUCUGAUGGAGCAACGCCGCGUGAGUGAAGAAGGGUUUCGGCUCGUAAAACUCUGUUGUUAAAGAAGAACAUAUCUGAGAGUAACUGUUCAGGUAUUGACGGUAUUUAACCAGAAAGCCACGGCUAACUACGUGCCAGCAGCCGCGGUAAUACGUAGGUGGCAAGCGUUGUCCGGAUUUAUUGGGCGUAAAGCGAGCGCAGGCGGUUUUUUAAGUCUGAUGUGAAAGCCUUCGGCUCAACCGAAGAAGUGCAUCGGAAACUGGGAAACUUGAGUGCAGAAGAGGACAGUGGAACUCCAUGUGUAGCGGUGAAAUGCGUAGAUAUAUGGAAGAACACCAGUGGCGAAGGCGGCUGUCUGGUCUGUAACUGACGCUGAGGCUCGAAAGUAUGGGUAGCAAACAGGAUUAGAUACCCUGGUAGUCCAUACCGUAAACGAUGAAUGCUAAGUGUUGGAGGGUUUCCGCCCUUCAGUGCUGCAGCUAACGCAUUAAGCAUUCCGCCUGGGGAGUACGGCCGCAAGGCUGAAACUCAAAGGAAUUGACGGGGGCCCGCACAAGCGGUGGAGCAUGUGGUUUAAUUCGAAGCUACGCGAAGAACCUUACCAGGUCUUGACAUACUAUGCAAAUCUAAGAGAUUAGACGUUCCCUUCGGGGACAUGGAUACAGGUGGUGCAUGGUUGUCGUCAGCUCGUGUCGUGAGAUGUUGGGUUAAGUCCCGCAACGAGCGCAACCCUUAUUAUCAGUUGCCAGCAUUAAGUUGGGCACUCUGGUGAGACUGCCGGUGACAAACCGGAGGAAGGUGGGGAUGACGUCAAAUCAUCAUGCCCCUUAUGACCUGGGCUACACACGUGCUACAAUGGAUGGUACAACGAGUUGCGAACUCGCGAGAGUAAGCUAAUCUCUUAAAGCCAUUCUCAGUUCGGAUUGUAGGCUGCAACUCGCCUACAUGAAGUCGGAAUCGCUAGUAAUCGCGGAUCAGCAUGCCGCGGUGAAUACGUUCCCGGGCCUUGUACACACCGCCCGUCACACCAUGAGAGUUUGUAACACCCAAAGUCGGUGGGGUAACCUUUUAGGAACCAGCCGC